GACGGAGGAUGCAAGUGUUAUCCGGAAUCACUGGGCGUAAAGCGUCUGUAGGUGGUUUAAAAAGUCCACUGUUAAAAAUUGAGGCUUAACUUCAAAGAUGCCGUGGAAACUUUCAAACUAGAGUAUGGUAGGGGUAGAGGGAAUUUCCAGUGGAGCGGUGAAAUGCGUAGAUAUUGGAAAGACCACCGAUGGCGAAGGCACUCUACUGGGCCAUUACUGACACUGAGAGACGAAAGCUAGGGGAGCAAAUGGG
rnacentral:rRNA from 1 species